CAGCUAAGAAAUUCAAACUUUCUCACGUUGACACGUGUCAUUGAUCAAUGAAACUCGGCGUUAAAACAAAGAGUCGAUCUUAUUUAUUGGGCUGAAACUUUACUAAAUCUCGGCCCCUAAGCCGCCUCUUACCGUACAGAAGUGCAACAGUCUAUGAUUUCAUUCAAUCUGCAUCAUUUACAUCCUUAUUCACUCCAUUAAUUUACGAGCUUCACUGACUCGCAAUGAAACCUGACGUUCUAAAAGGUUGAGAAACUUAACCUAUAAAUAAGGAGAGAGAUCGAAACGACUCCAUAACUUCAGAUUACCUUAUCUUCGAUGGGGUCAGUAUAUUCCUCAGGGAUGUCAAGCUACCGUCUUCCGAUGGGCCGCUCAGGGAUCUCCGGCAGGUGCUGGAGGAGAAAAAUCUGAUGGUCUUGGAAUGUCAAGCUACGGCUCGACGCCUCAUGGCUACCAGUAAGCUUGACAGGUAAUUCACAAAUCACCUUCUUCUUUGAGUGUUUAUGUUAAACAAAUAUGAGACUUAUUUCUCACACGAUGAUAUGCAUUUUAAUAAUUUAAAAAUUAGGAACUCUGUCUGCCUUACUGUUUUUGAAGGUUUUGAUGCUUCUCAGGAUAAAAAAUUGCUAACCUCUGGUGUUGAACCAAAGCCUAAAGGUAGUAGUUGCAACCAAUAUUAACCCAAAGUUAGUUGGAGGUAACUUACUUAUCUCUGUUACUCUUCAUAUUUCUUAAACUCUUCCACUCAUAUUGCUGCUAAAUUCAAAACCUUUGUGGUAUUGUAAUCAUUGAAUAAGCUCACACCUGUUUGUAGCUGUGUCCAAUACUCUCAGUCAGAUAUACAACUGCCACAAAAUUGCUUGAUCUUUUAUGAGCCAGAGAAAAAUGUAAACAGUGUUCAAACUGGUAUAUAUAUUCGUAUUCAUUCGUAUACACGUAUCAUAGGUCAUAUUGAAUUAGUGGAAUUCGUUUCUUUUCUAUGCUUUAUUAUUGUUGAGAAAGAAGCAUUACACAACCAAAUUUUUAUUCACUUUUUAGUCAACGAAUGAAUACAAAUCAUUUGGUUGUUUUAGAUGAUUGCAUUGUAUAGCUCUCAGGAAGUAGAGUUCCUUUGCACAGCUGUUGUCAAUGGUAUUGAGACGGGAAAUGGGUGGAGCUAUAUUUCAUGCUGGAAGUGCUACCGAAAGCUCCAACGUGGAUUCUCAGCUUUCACAUGCUCUGCAUAUCAAGCUGACAAUGCAGUGGUUGUUGUAAGGUACCGUGUGCAAAUGAAUGUGUUGGAUGCGUAUAACUGCUAAGAUAAUAGCUUUUGACAGUGAAAUGACCAAGCUUACAAAUUUCAGGGCAGCAGACAUAUCUCAGCUAAUGGGCGAGGGCGAGAGCGACCAAGACAUCCAAGAAUUAGCACUUCCCCAAUACCUCAAAGACAUUGUUGGAAGCACAUUAACCUUCCAUCUCGCGCUCCCACCCAAUUCAACUUCCCAUGAAAACAUCAGAGCUUAGCUGAUGCAACCAGCUCCCAUCUUUGAAUGCGACCAGCUCCCUCCUCUACCUAAUUUUGACGCAAACGUGAGUAGGAAUGUUGAUGAUAGGUUUAGCUGCUCUGCAAAGUAUUCUUGACUGAGUUUUCACUUUCACAAGGAGGACAUGACAACCCUGGAGAUGAUAUGCCCGGUGCUGGAGCAAAACACAUGCUCCUGUGGGCACUCUGAUCCUCACCUGAACGGCUGAAUGAACACUAACAACUUCACAGCUAAUGUGAAUGUUGAUGGCCAAGCUGUCUCUGAUAAUGUAAUGUAUCAGGAUCCUGCAACUGACUGUGACACUGGAGAAAAGAAGUUAGCUGAAGAGGAAGCACCUAGCGCUAAGCAGAGCUGGGCUGAGUUAAAUUUCUCUGAUUGUCGCAGCUAUUUUGGGAAUAAGUCAUCUUUUUAUAAUUUCUGUGUCUUCGAUAAUUUCUAUAACCGUGAAGUUCGUGAAUCCUAUUAGAAUUUGUUUCAAGUCUUUUUCCCUUUAAAUAAUUCCAUAAACUCUUUAGUUGAUAUUUAAGAUAUUUUGCUCCA